rnacentral:tRNA from 1 species
GGCCAAGUGGCGGAAUGGCAGACGCACUCGACUCAAAAUCGAGCACCUAACAGUGUGUGGGUUCGAGUCCCACCUUGGCCAC